CUGCCUUCAAAAGCACCAUGACCCCCAUUGCUUCUUCACCCUCUUGUGGAAUCUAAACAGGGCCGUGAGUGUACCUCUGGUGCAAUGAGUCAAGUCCUGAUGUUUCCUUGAUCAAGCCUUUCAGAAAUGCCUCAUUCCGAAUUCCUCAGAAAGUAUAAAGCUGAUGACCUGCUCUCCCUUUGUUCUCUGGCUUCCCUGUGCCAUUACACCUUCUUCAUGUCAGCAAUGACCUCCAGUGAUUUUUAUCUUACCCCUAUGGGAAUGCUCUUGCUCUAGGAGGUCCUUGCGGUUGGAGUCUCUUUAUGCAAAUGCCACAUGCUUCCUGAGGUCGUCCCUGAAAAGGCAUCUACACAAUUGCAGCCCUGCCCUACUCUACACAUACACACACACACACACACACACACACACCAUCCACACCAUUAUCCCCUAUACUGCACACACAUGCAUCACCCACAUCCUUAUCCCCUACACCACACACACUGCACACACACACACACACCAUACACACACUACCCAUGCAUACAGCUCCUUAGACACCUCUCACGUAUCACAUACAUACAUACAUACAUUACUACACAUCCCCACACCCAUACAAAGACAUAUACCCUAGACACCCAUACUUACACCAUGUACAAAGGCACACCCAAACCAUACAAACUUCACACCCUGUAUUCCCUACACACACACACACACACACACACACACUCACCACAUACCCACACUGUACCCCUCCACAGACAUUUCCUGUUUCCUUCUGCUCAGCAGGCACAUGGCCUCACAUAUAACGUAUUUCACUAUUUUAGCUUUUAUAGGGAUAUUUUAUCCACUAAAAUGUCAACACCAGGAGAGAUUUUUAUCCAUUGAGUUCAGUGCCUGCCCAAUAUCUGUUUAUGGAAUGAAUUAAAAUACAUAGCAGCAUCCAGUAGUUACUAUAUACAAGAAUGAAACAAGACCUUAUUCCUUGAGCCCCCGAGUUUCUGUGUGGAAUCACAGGGGUAUAUGGGAGAGUGUCCACUGGAGGGUCAGAAAUCCUUGCUCCUGUAACAUAUGCUGGUCUGCUGCUCUGCUGCCUUGACUUGGCAUUUGUAAGUAUGUUCUAU
rnacentral:lncRNA from 1 species